rnacentral:rRNA from 1 species
CCCGGGUCUUGUACACACCGCCCGUCACACCAUGGGAGCGGGACUGUACCAGAAGUAGGUAGGCUAACCGCAAGGGGCCGCUUACCACGGUGCGUUUCGUGACUGGGGUG